ACUUCUGUAGCCCAACUGGCAGAGGCGUUAGACUUAGACUCUAAAUGUUGUGGGUUCGACUCCCACCAGAAGUA
rnacentral:tRNA from 1 species